rnacentral:rRNA from 1 species
GCGAUCAUACCAGCACUAAUGCACCGGAUCCCAUCAGAACUCCGAAGUUAAGCGUGCUUAGGUGAGAGUAGUACUAGGAUGGGUGACCCCCUGGGAAGUCCUCGUGUUGCACCCC